GCUACUGUGGCUCAGGGGUAGAGCACCACCUUGGUAAGGUGGGGGUCGCGGGUCCGAUUCCCGCCAGUAGCUCCA
rnacentral:tRNA from 1 species